rnacentral:tRNA from 1 species
UGCCUAUUGGCCCAGUGGUUAAGGCGUCCGGCUGUUAUCCGACAGAAAAAACCGGAAGAUCCCUGGUUCGACCCCAGGAUGGGCAG